rnacentral:rRNA from 1 species
CACCUUCGGGUGUGUAUAAAGUGGCGAACGGCUGAGUAACACGUGGGCAACCUGCCCCUCUCAUUGGGAUAGCCACGGGAAACCGUGGAUAAUACCGAAUACUUCGAGACUUCCGCAUGGAAGACUCGAGAAAGCUCCGGCGGAGUGGGAUGGGCCCGCGGCCUGUUAGCUUGUUGGUGGGGUAACGGCCCACCAAGGCAACGAUCAGUAGGGGUUCUGAGAGGAAGGUCCCCCACAUUGGAACUGAGACACGGUCCAA